AAUUUGAAUUCANAGUAAUAAUUGGAACGAUACAGAGAAGAUUAGCAUGGCCCCUGCGAAAGGAUGACAUGCACCAAUUGAGAAAUGGUCCAAAUUUUU